GGUCGUGAGUGCCACAUUGGGGGUAGAGAUUACUUUAAAAAAUAAAGAAAAAACUAAAAAAAAAAAAAAACCCCACACAAACAAAACUAUGGACUUUCCUCCCACACCCCCGCAAAUUGCAGAGAAAUAUACAGAAUUUUACGUAAAAUUUGAAGGGAUAUGUGGGCACUCUCCCUGAUGCCCAUGUGUAAACCUCAUGUUAAGUACUCCUAAUCAGAAGUGAUAUAUCCUAUAAUAGUGGUUGUAUAAUUGCUGUGGGACUUGAGGAAAGGAUUUCAUUAACUCUACCACAGGGUAUCAAGGAAAGCCUCAUUGAAAGGUGACUUUUGAUCUGAAACAUAAUGAUUGAAUAGGGGUUUCCUAGACUAUCAAGGGUGGAGGAAGGGCAUUUUAGGUCGAAUGGUCCAGUUAACCUGAAAGCCAGUUUAUCCUGCAAGCCUCUUUGAUCAUUUGCCUGUGUAUUCACUCUUUCUUGAACCUCUUUGGGCUUCCUGCUACCCUUCUAUGCUUUCCCUUACCCCCAUUCAUCCGCUUACCAUUGUCUCUCGUGCCAAUUCUUUGCACUGUGUUUUCUGGAAAGCUAAUUCCAUUGUGGACACACUCUAUUGUACUCUAGACUUCCUCCUCUAAUUAUCCCUCUACUUUUUUUUUAACUGAAGCUUUGCUUUUCCCCCUAAGUAUGCCCCCCUUAUUACCAUGGCUCUUGAGUGGGAGCCUCCCAUAAUUUUAUUUAAUCAAUGUUACUUACUGAUGAAGGGUUAUGUUGUUUCCAGUUUUUUUGCUGUUACAAACAAUACCACAAUGUUCAUCCUUACAUGUAUGUUUGUUGUAUGUGUUAUAUAUUUGUAGGAUAGAUUUAUGGAAUUGGAACUGCUGAAUCAGAUGGCAUGAACAUUAAGAAAUUUGAUAAGUACUGCCAAAUUGUUAUCAGAAGGUUUGUUCUUAUGUGCAUUCUUACCAACCAUAAAUGAGAGUGUGCAUAUUCUUAUACCUCACCAAUAUUGCAGAGUUACUAAUUUCUUUUUAAGUCGUUAGUCAUUUUAUUUGCUUCACAGAAGACAUCAUCCUCAUUUUUUACCCUCAGAUGAAAAGUUCCUCCUUUGAGGCUCAUGCCUUCUGGCAGUACUACCUUUUAUUUCUUCUUGAUAUAGUCACUUAUUAACUUCUUUUUUUAUUUCCUUAUAUUCUCUGAGGACUUGGAUAUCUGGCUUGUUUUCUCCCAUCUACCCAAACUGCUGCCCUUUACCUGCUGGCCAGUCACAGUGCUCUGUGAUUCAAUUGGCCAAGCAACACUCUAGCUUCAUAGUUCCCUGACCAGCUAGCGUUCUUCUUCUCCAUGCUACUUCUGCUGCAAAAUUGUUCUACCAGAUGCGAGGUUUGGUCAUUUCCCAGAAUUACUCUACUUGCAAAUAUAAAAUUCUAUUAUUUCAUUCUCUGUCCUCAACUUCAGAUUGUUCGAACUUCCUCACUAUCUUAAUCCUUUUGCAAUUGCCCUUCAGAUCCAUAACCCCUCCGUUUUUUUCCAAAACAUGUGCUCUAAUUAUUUUAAAAGUAAUAUAUAUUAUAAAAGAUUUGCUUCACAACCUAAAUCUACAACCUAGGUAGUAUAAGGCUCUUGUAAUCCUAUCAUUCCGAGAUAACCACUGUUAAGAAUUUGGUGUAAGUCUUCCAGAAUUUUGCCUAUGUAUAUAUUUUUAUACAAUUUUUAUAAUAAUAGGCACAAAAUACAUUUUAUACACUAUUUGCAACUUCCUUUUUUACAUAAUAUUACUUAGGACAUUUUUAUCAUUUUACUACAUAUAACAUCAAUGCAUUACUUUUUAAAUUUUAAUUUAAUUUUUAAAAUUGAGAUGUAAUUUACAUGUAACAUUAUAUUAGUCUCAGGUGUACAACAUAAUGAUCCCUUACUUGUGUAUAUUGCAAAAUGAUCACCACACUAGUUAACAUCUGUCAUCAUACAUAGUUAUGAAAUUUUUUUCUUGUGAUGAGAAUUUUUAAGAUUUACUCUCGGGGGUCCCUGGGUGGCUCAGCAGUUUAGCGCCUGCCUUUGGCCCAGGGUGUGAUCCUGGAGUCCUGGGAUUGAGUCUCAUAUUGGGCUCCCUGCAUGGAGCCUGCUUCUCCCUCUGCCUGUGUCUCUGCCUCUCUCUCUCUCUCUCUGUGUGUGUCUCUCAUGAA
rnacentral:lncRNA from 1 species